rnacentral:pre_miRNA from 1 species
AGAGGGAUUGCUGGGUCAUAUAGUAACUCUUAAUUUUUUGAGGAACCACCAGACUGUUUUCCAUAGUGGCUGUACCAUUCUACAUUCCCACCAGCAGU